rnacentral:rRNA from 1 species
UGGGGAAUAUUGCACAAUGGGCGCAAGCCUGAUGCAGCCAUGCCGCGUGUAUGAAGAAGGCCUUCGGGUUGUAAAGUACUUUCAGCGGGGAGGAAGGCGAUAAGGUUAAUAACCUUGUCGAUUGACGUUACCCGCAGAAGAAGCACCGGCUACUCCGUGCCAGCAGCCGCGGUAAUACGGAGGGUGCAAGCGUUAAUCGGAAUUACUGGGCGUAAAGCGCACGCAGGCGGUCUGUCAAGUCGGAUGUGAAAUCCCCGGGCUCAACCUGGGAACUGCAUUCGAAACUGGCAGGCUAGAGUCUUGUAGAGGGGGGUAGAAUUCCAGGUGUAGCGGUGAAAUGCGUAGAGAUCUGGAGGAAUACCGGUGGCGAAGGCGGCCCCCUGGACAAAGACUGACGCUCAGGUGCGAAAGCGUGGGGAGCAAACA